GAUGAACGCUGGCGGCGUGCCUAAUACAUGCAAGUCGAGCGAACAGACGAUGAUCUUGCUCCUCUGACGUUAUCGGCUGACGUGUUAGUAACACGUGUAUAACCUACCUAUAUUACUUGUAUAACUUCGUGAAACCGGAUCUAAUACCGUAUAAUCUAUUGAACCGCAUGGUUCAAUAUUUAAAGACGUUUUUUCUGUCUCUUAUAGAUUGAUCCGCGCCGCAUUAGCUAGUUGGUAAGGUAACGGCUUACCAAGGCAACGAUGCGUAGCCGACGUGAGAGGGGGAUCGGCCACACGGGAAGGGAGACACGGUGAAGAAGACUACGGGAGGAAGCAGAAGGGAAGAGGACGCAAUGGGGGAAAGCAUGACGGAGAAAAGCGGCGUGAGUGAUGAAGGUGGUGGGAUCGUAAAACACUGUUAUUAGGGAAGAAAAAAUGUGUAAGUAAAUAUGAACGUAAUGACGGUAACUAAUAAGAAAGCAACGGCUAACUACGUG
rnacentral:rRNA from 1 species